rnacentral:rRNA from 1 species
UCAAUCAAUAAAGGGCAUAUGGUGGAGACCUAGGGACCUAGAGCCGAUGAAGGGCGUGACAACCGACGAUAUGCCUCGGGGAGCAGGACGUAUGCACUGAUCCGAGGAUUCCCGAAUGGGGCAACCCAAUGCAUUCCUUCUUGAAUUCAUAGAGAAGAGAAAGACAACUUAGUGAACUGAAACAUCUUAGUAGCUAAAGGAAAAGAAAGCAAAAGCGAUUCCCAAAGUAGCGGCGAGCGGAAUGGGAACAGCCUAAAAGGACUUUAACAGUAAUGUAAAGACCAGGUCAUGGGACCAAACAUAUGGCAUUGUAUGGAAUGAGAAACGAAACAGCUGAAACCUGUACCAUAGAUGGUGAAAGUCCAGUCGUUGAAUCACUACCAACUCCAGCCGUUUGGCUCCCGAGUAGUAUGGGACACGUGAAAUCCCGUAUGAAUUUGCGAGGACCACCUCGUAAGGCUAAAUACUCCUAGGUCACCGAUAGCGAAUAGUACCGCGAGGGAAAGGUGAAAAGAACCCCUUUACGGGGAGUGAAAUAGAACAUGAAACCGUAUGCUUACAAUUUGUGGGAGGAUGAACACAUCUGACCGCAUGCCUGUUGAAGAAUGAGCUGGCGACUUAGAAGAAGUGGCAGGUUAAGAUUUUCCAUCGAAGCCAAAGCGAAAGCAUGUCUGAUAAGGGCUCUCGUCCCUUCUUCUAGACCCGAACCCAGGUGAUCUAACCAUGACCAGAAUGAAGCUUUGGUGAUACGAAGUGGAGGUUCGAACCGACCGAUGUUGAAAAAUCGACGGAUGAGUUGUGGUUAGGGGUGAAAUGCCAAUCGAACUUGGAGCUAGCUGGUUCUCCUCGAAAUGCGUUGAGGCGCAGCGGUUGAUUAUGGACUUCUAGGGGGUAAAGCGCUGUCUCGGUGCGGGCUGCGAAAGCGGUACUAAUCUGUUGCAAACUCGGAAUACCUAGAAUGUUUUCAAUCAGCCAGUGAGACUGCGGGGGAUAAGCUCCGUAGUCAAAAGGGAAACAGCCCAGACCACCAGCUAAGGCUCCUAAAUAAAAGCUAAGUGGCAAAGGAGGUGAAAGUGCAGUGACAAUCAGGAGGUUUGCCUAGAAGCAGCCACCCUCUAAGGAGUGCGUAAUAGCUCACUGAUCAAGCGCUUUUGCGCCGAAAAUGACCGGAACUAAGUUUUUUGCCGAAGCUGUGGCUACAUCACACAGAUGAUGUAGGGUAGAGGAGCGUUCCGCCCAGGGGGAAGCCAAGCGCGUAAGCCGCGGUGGACAGGGCGGAAGUGAGAAUGUCAGCUUGAGUAACGCAAACAUUGGUGAGAAUCCAGUGCCCCGAAAACUCAAGGGUUCCUGCGCAAGGCUCGUCCGCGCAGGGUCAGUCAGGACCUAAGGUGAGGCCGAAAGGCGUAAUUGAUGGCAAGAAGGUUUAUAUUCCUUCACUAGUCUAGGCUUAGUCCUGAGGGACGAACAAAUAACACUCGGCACAAUGGCCUUCCAUGGUAGGAAGGGUCAAACCAUUGUUGUUUGAUGGUAUUUUUUCCAAGAAAAGCUCAUUCGACUUUGAGUCUAGACUACCUGUACCGUAAACCGACACAGGUGAGUGGGUUGAAUAAACUAAGGGGAGCGAGAUAACUCUCUCUAAGGAACUCGGCAAAUUGGCUCUGUACCUUCGGAAGAAAGAGUGCCCCUCAGGGGGCCGCAGUGAAGAGAUCCAGGCGACUGUUUACCAAAAACACAGGUCUCCGCAAAGUCGUAAGACGACGUAUGGGGGCUGACACCUGCCCAGUGCCAGAAGGUUAAAGAAGUUGGUCAAUCUAUGAUGAAGCUAACGACUGAAGCCCUGGUGAACGGCGGCAGUAACUAUAACUGUCCUAAGGUAGCGAAAUUCCUUGUCGGGUAAGUUCCGACCCGCACGAAAGGUGU